rnacentral:rRNA from 1 species
UACGGGGGGGGCAAGCGUUGUUCGGAAUUACUGGGCGUAAAGGGCUCGUAGGUGGCCAACUAAGUCAGACGUGAAAUCCCUCAGCUUAACUGGGGAACUGCGUCUGAUACUGGAUGGCUUGAGUUUGGGAGAGGGAUGCGGAAUUCCAGGUGUAGCGGUGAAAUGCGUAGAUAUCUGGAGGAACACCGGUGGCGAAGGCGGCAUCCUGGAUCAACACUGACACUGAGGAGCGAAAGCCAGGGGAGCAAACGGG